UAGGGAAUAUUGCACAAUGGGCGAAAGCCUGAUGCAGCAACGCCGCGUGCGCGACGAAGGCCUUCGGGUCGUAAAGCGCUUUUCGGGGAGACGAGCAAGGACGGUAUCCCCGGAAUAAGGCUCGGCUAACUACGUGCCAGCAGCCGCGGUAAAACGUAGGAGCCUAGCGUUAUCCGAAUUUACUGGGCGUAAAGCGCGUGCAGGCGGUUCGGUAAGUUGGGUGUGAAAUCUCCUGGCUCAACUAGGAGAGGUCGCUCAAUACUGUCGAACUAGAGGAUGGUAGAGGGAGGUGGAAUUCCCGGUGUAGUGGUGAAAUGCGUAGAUAUCGGGAGGAAUACCAGUGGCGAAGGCGGCCUCCUGGGCCAUACCUGACGCUCAGACGCGAAAGCUAGGGGAGCAAACGGGAUUAGAAACCCCGGUAGUCCUAGCAGUAAACGAUGUGGACUUGGCGUUGGUGGGGUAAAAUCCAUCAGUGCCGGAGCUAACGCGGUAAGUCCACCGCCUGGGGACUACGGCCGCAAGGUUA
rnacentral:rRNA from 1 species